rnacentral:rRNA from 1 species
CUACGGGCGGCUGCAGUGAGGAAUAUUGCACAAUGGGGGGAACCCUGAUGCAGCAACGCCGCGUGGAGGAUGACGCAUUUCGGUGUGUAAACUCCUUUUAUAUGUCAAGAAAAUGACGGUAGCAUAUGAAUAAGCACCGGCUAACUCCGUGCCAGCAGCCGCGGUAAUAAGAGGGUGCAAGCGUUACUCGGAAUCACUGGGCGUAAAGGACGCGUAGGCGGGUUGGAAAGUCAGGUGUGAAAUCCUACAGCUUAACUGUAGAACUGCACUUGAAACUUCUAAUCUAGAGUAUGGGAGGGGGAGAUGGAAUUAGUGGUGUAGGGGUAAAAUCCGUAGAUAUCACUAGGAAUACCUAAAGCGAAGGCGAUCUCCUGGAACAUUACUGACGCUAAGGCGUGAAAGCGUGGGGAGCAAACAGGAUUAGAUACCCGAGUAGUC